GACGAACGCUGGCGGCGUGCUUAACACAUGCAAGUCGUACGGUAAGGCCCUUUCGGUGGUACUCUAGUGGCGAACGGGUGCGUAACACUUGCGUAACCUGCCCCCACCUUUGGGAUAACGCUAGGUAACUGGUGCUAAUACUGGAUAUGUGCUCCUGCUUCAUGGUGGGGGUUGGAAAGCUCCGGCGGUUGUGGAUGUACUCGCUGCCUAUCAGCUUGCUGGUGGGGUAGUGGACUACCAAGGCGGCGACGGGUAGCCGGCCUGAGUGGGUGACCGGCCACAUUGGGACUGAGAUACGGCACAGACUCCUACGGGAGGCAGCAGUGGGGAAGAUUGCACAAGGGGCGCAAGCCUGAUGCAGCAACGCCGCGGGCGGGAUGACGGCCUUAGGGUUGUAAACCGCUUUCAGCAGGGACGAAGCUUUUUGUGACGGUACCUGCAGAAGAAGCACCGGCUAACUACGUG
rnacentral:rRNA from 1 species